rnacentral:rRNA from 1 species
AACGAACGCUGGCGGCAUGCCUAACACAUGCAAGUCGAACGAGACCUUCGGGUCUAGUGGCGCACGGGUGCGUAACGCGUGGGAACCUGCCUUUAGGUUCGGAAUAACUCAGAGAAAUUUGAGCUAAUACCGGAUGAUGUCUUCGGACCAAAGAUUUAUCGCCUUUAGAUGGGCCCGCGUUGGAUUAGCUAGUUGGUGGGGUAAAGGCCUACCAAGGCGACGAUCCAUAGCUGGUCUGAGAGGAUGAUCAGCCACACUGGAACUGAGACACGGCCCAGACUCCUACGGGAGGAAGCAGGGGGGAAAAUUGGACAAUGGGCGAAAGCCUGACCCAGCAAUGCCGGGUGAGUGAUGAAGGCCUUGGGGUUGUAAAGCUCUUUUACCCGAGAUGAAAAGGACAGUAUGGGGAGAAUAAGCUCCGGCUAACUCCG